ACUCACAGCCGUCAUCUCCUUCUUUUCUCUCUCCCUCUGUCUGCAUCCCUCACAAUGGUCCCCUGCCUCACACAAAGGCUUCUCCCUCUCGUCUCUCCCUCCCAUCCUCUGCAUCUCUCAGUUCUUACAUUCAGGGUGGUAGAUGUGAUCCAAUGAAGAUGCGACAGGAAAAAGCACGAUUGGAGAGGAGGCAGCAUGAAGAUGCAAAGAACGGUUGAGAUUGAUCCAAACUUGAAGAUCCUAGAGGAACUUGAAAGAUUAACUGGAUUCUCUCCAUCCCAAUCUGCCGAGUGCUCUAAUACCAUCAUUAACAAUGGUGGCUGAAUAUUUGAGUUGGGAAUGUGAUGUUGUAUUUUAUGUUGUAAUUUAAUCAAAGUUUUUUUUUGUUUAUGUUUGAUUUGGAUUUUAGAGUGACUUUGAAGUUUUUAAUUUUAUUGUCAUUUUGGAAUGUUUGAUUUGGCAGAAUAUUUGA